rnacentral:rRNA from 1 species
AUGAAUAUACUCGCUUGGAACUGCCGGGGGGUGGGGAACCACCGGACAGUUCAAGAGGUGUUGGCCCUCACCAAAGCCUACCCCAAGCUAGUCUUUUUAAGUGAGACUAGGCAAGAUGUGGUUAAGAUUGAGAAACUCAAGUGGAGACUAGGUCUAAAAGGUUUUCACGGUGUUAGUAGCAAUGGAAGGAGUGGUGGUUUGACUCUUUUUUGGGAUGAAUCCCUAAAUGUGACAGUUCUGGAUGCAUGCUGUCGGUAUAUUGAUGUUCACGUUGAUGAUGUGGGUGGAGGGGACUCGUGGAGAGGAACCUUCGUGUAUGGAGAGCCUAGGGUUGAAAACCGGCAUUAUAUGUGGGAUCAUUUGACUAGGCUUCGAGCUAUCUCGCAGGAUUCGCGAUUUGUAUGUGGAGACUACAACGAAGCUAUGUGGCAGCAGGAGCAUCUUUCCAGGGCUCUGCAAUCGCAAACACGGAUGUUGGCAUUGGGGGACUGCUUGCUGUUGUGUGAGCUCGAGGAUUUCGGCUUCAUAAAAUUCCACAUCAUAAUUUGGGCUUCAUAA